CUCGCACCAAAACAAUCUAGAUGGGUAAAUAGCACUACAGGCCAGUCCAUGUGAUAAAUUGAGACCACCCGAGGCACCCUUGACGAGGAUAGCUGCCAGAGCUGUUUGGCUGUAUGCUGUUCUCUCUAUGGAAAUCCACACCAGACCUAACAUGUUGCAUGCAUUUUUUUUCUGUUAUGAAAUAAGAAAAGCACAUACAACCCCGUGUGUGCCACACCCUGCUUCAUUAGAAAGGGUGUGGUUGGAACGCCAUGCCUAUCAUCAGACUUGGCUGCCUUCCUUCAUCUAUCUGAGCUUUUAUCAAACGUAAGGCUGCAAAGCCAUACUGAAUAUAUACUAUGAACAGC